rnacentral:lncRNA from 12 species
CUUCGGGGUCGCCCCUAGGGGGCGUCAACUCCCCUCAACCGACCCAUCCUUGAGCUCGCUCGUUCACGCGCACUCGGCUGCCGCCUUUCUCAGCCACCCGCCCCAACUCCCAUCUUUCACGAAGUGAGGCCAGCCGACCCCCCAUCCCUAACUGUACCGUUCAAGCCUGGAAAGUUCUGAAGGUGAGUGGGGUUGGAGAGGAAGCUGCUUACCCCUCGGGAGGAGGUUGGGGAGGAACUCUAAGAGCCCGCAGUGAGACCCUGCCACAGGAGGGAUUGUGUCUCCCCCUCGUGUCCCACUGCAUUCCCAACCCCAAGAGACCCUGCCUCAGGCCCUCUUCCCCCCAGGCACACACACACAUACUGGGGAGACAGCAAACCUCACUUCGAGGGGAACGGAAUGGGUUGACAGCCAGGGAAUGGAGACUAUUACUAUCUCUCAUCUCCUCCCGGCACUCUCAUCUGGGACUUAGGCCACUGGACAAAACUCAGGCUUCUAUGGCUCCAAGCUGGGUUUGGUGAGCUCUGGGACCAGUGACGGCCUCUGUGGGACCCUGACCUUCUCCCUGUCUCCGUUGUGUGAUCUGCAGAGUGGGUUUUGUGUCUACGCACUCUUUGAGUCCCUUUGAUCUUGCCUUUGCCACAAGUUGCCCACCUCCCCUCCCCCCAACCAGGGUUAGGACUUCAGGGCUGCAUAGGUGUUUCUUCCAGAGGAAGAGGAAAACAGUGGCUGUUUUAAUCUAUGUUUAAACAACUGCCUCCUCCGCCUUUGCAUAGUUCCUAUCAGGGGUGAGAGGUGAACAGUUGGUUUGGGGUCAGAGUCCCCGAGGGUGCUUGCGACUUAACACUCCAUACUUUCCAAAGCCUCCAUAAAGGGAGUUGCUCUCAUUCCCAGCUCACACAAAAACACACACGAGGAGACUCUAUACACAUGGACACGCACAGGCAUGUACAACGGUGCAGAGCCCAUCCAUACACAACAUUUGCACACGUGAACAUAGCGCAAGCACAGGAGGAUUAGCGGGACACCGAAAAUCCACACAGUCCUUCCGAGCACACCCAGACACACUUGCCCACUCACUCACCUGGAGCCUCACACACAGAGUCACGAACAAGUACGCACGCGCGGCGCACACUCGCCCCUCUCCCCUGUUUCUGCAGGAGCUAGCAGAUGGGGAAGGUGGCCCGGGAAGGCCUCGGCGUUGCAGUGACCCCUCCCCUCCCUCCUCACCCGCACGCGAUCCAGGCUAGGAUAGAAGGAGGUGGGGUGGGCGUGGGGGAGACACAAGGGU